rnacentral:rRNA from 1 species
UACGUAGGGGGCAAGCGUUGUCCGGAUUUAUUGGGCGUAAAGAGCGUGUAGGCGGCCAAGCAGGUCCGCUGUGAAAACUCGAGGCUCAACCUCGAGACGUCGGUGGAAACCGUUUGGCUAGAGUCCGGAAGAGGAGAGUGGAAUUCCCGGUGUAGCGGUGAAAUGCGCAGAUAUCAGGAAGAACACCCGUGGCGAAGGCGGCUCUCUGGAACGCAACUGACGCUGAGACGCGAGGGCGUGGGGAGCGAACGGG